CAAGUGUGCUUUCAUGUUCAAAUUUUGCACUUGGAAUGUUUGACUGGAAUUGGAUACUGUGACCAACAGUUUAUCUUGGUAAGUACCUUAAUUAUAAGGUUUGCUUUUAUCCCUGUUAAUUACUUAGACAAAGACAAAUUAUCUUCCAAAUAUCGCAGGGGCUUACGAUGACGAAAUAUCAGCAGCCAGAGCAUAUGAUUUAGCUGCACUAAAGUACUGGGGAACAUUGACUGUCACCAAUUUUCCUGUUGCAGAGUAUGAAGAACAAGUAGAAAUAAUGCAAACUAUGACAAAAGAGGAGUACUUGGCCACUUUAAGAAGGCACCACCACAACGGUAGAUGGGAAGCACGGAUUGGAAGGGUUUUUGGAAACAAGUAUCUCUACCUUGGCACCUACAGUAAGUUGCAUCUCCAUAGCCCAUCACAGGGCUACAGAUAACGCAG